rnacentral:rRNA from 1 species
GAUGAACGCUGGCGGCGUGCCUAAUACAUGCAAGUCGAGCGAACGGACGAGAAGCUUGCUUCUCUGAUGUUAGCGGCGGACGGGUGAGUAACACGUGGAUAACCUACCUAUAAGACUGGGAUAACUUCGGGAAACCGGAGCUAAUACCGGAUAAUAUUUUGAACCGCAUGGUUCAAAAGUGAAAGACGGUCUUGCUGUCACUUAUAGAGGGAUACGCGCUGCAUUAGCUAGUUGGUAAGGUAACGGCUUACCAAGGCAACGAUGCCUAGCCGACCUGAGAGGGUGAUCGGCCACACUAGAACUGAGACAGGGUCCAGACUCCUACGGGAGGCAGCAGUAGGGAAUCUUACGCAAUGGGCGAAAGCCUGACGGAACAAGGCGGCGUGAGUGAUAGAGGUCUUCGGAUCGUAAAACUCUGUUAUUAGGGAAGAACAUAUGUGUAAGUAACUGUACACAUCUUGACGGUACCUAAUCAGAAAGCCACGGCUAACUACGUG